UGACCGCUGGCGGCGUGCCUAAUACAUGCAAGUCGAGCGAACAGACGAGGAGCUUGCUCCUCUGACGUUAGCGGCGGACGGGUGAGUAACACGUGGAUAACCUACCUAUAAGACUGGGAUAACUUCGGGAAACCGGAGCUAAUACCGGAUAAUAUAUUGAACCGCAUGGUUCAAUAGUGAAAGACGGUUUUGCUGUCACUUAUAGAUGGAUCCGCGCCGCAUUAGCUAGUUGGUAAGGUAACGGCUUACCAAGGCAACGAUGCGUAGCCGACCUGAGAGGGUGAUCGGCCACACUGGAACUGAGACACGGUCCAGACUCCUACGGGAGGCAGCAGUAUGGAAUCUUCCGCAAUGGGCGAAAGCCUGACGGAGCAACGCCGCGUGAGUGAUGAAGGUCUUCGGAUCGUAAAACUCUGUUAUUAGGGAAGAACAAAUGUGUAAGUAACUAUGCACGUCUUGACGGUACCUAAUCAGAAAGCCACGGCUAACUACGUG
rnacentral:rRNA from 1 species